GGCAGGCUUAACACAUGCAAGUCGAGGGGCAGCGGGGAGGAAGCUUGCUUUCUCCGCCGGCGACCGGCGCACGGGUGAGUAACACGUAUGCAACCUGCCCCUGUCAGGGGGACAACCCGCCGAAAGGCGGGCUAAACCCGCGUACAUGCCACCGGGGCAUCCCGGAGGCAGGAAAGGCUUCGGCCGGACAGGGAUGGGCAUGCGGCGCAUUAGGCAGUAGGCGGGGUAACGGCCCACCUAACCGACGAUGCGUAGGGGUUCUGAGAGGAAGGUCCCCCACACUGGUACUGAGACACGGACCAGACUCCUACGGGAGGCAGCAGUGAGGAAUAUUGGUCAAUGGUCGGGAGACUGAACCAGCCAAGCCGCGUGAGGGAGGAAGGUACAGAGUAUCGUAAACCUCUUUUGUCAGGGAACAAAGGCGGGGACGUGUCCCCGGAUGAGUGUACCUGAAGAAAAAGCAUCGGCUAACUCCGUGCCAGCAGCCGCGGUAAUACGGAGGAUGCGAGCGUUAUCCGGAUUUAUUGGGUUUAAAGGGUGCGCAGGCGGUCUGUUAAGUCAGCGGUCAAAGCCCGGGGCUCAACCCCGGCCCGCCGUUGAAACUGGCAGUCUCGAGUUGGAGAGAAGUAUGCGGAAUGCGCGGUGUAGCGGUGAAAUGCAUAGAUAUCGCGCAGAACUCCGAUUGCGAAGGCAGCAUGCCGGCUCCACACUGACGCUGAGGCACGAAAGCGUGGGUAUCGAACAGGAUUAGAUACCCUGGUAGUCCACGCAGUAAACGAUGAAUGCUGGCUGUCCGGGGGGACUGACCCCUGGGUGGCGAAGCGAAAGCGAUAAGCAUUCCACCUGGGGAGUACGCCGGCAACGGUGAAACUCAAAGGAAUUGACGGGGGCCCGCACAAGCGGAGGAACAUGUGGUUUAAUUCGAUGAUACGCGAGGAACCUUACCCGGGCUCAAACGGGGAGUGGCGCAGGCAGAGACGCCUGUUUCCCACGGGACACUCCCCGAGGUGCUGCAUGGUUGUCGUCAGCUCGUGCCGUGAGGUGUCGGCUUAAGUGCCAUAACGAGCGCAACCCCCGCGUGCAGUUGCUAACAGUCAACGCUGAGGACUCUGCACGGACUGCCGGCGCAAGCCGCGAGGAAGGCGGGGAUGACGUCAAAUCAGCACGGCCCUUACGUCCGGGGCGACACACGUGUUACAAUGGGUGGUACAGCGGGAAGCCAGGCGGCGACGCCGAGCGGAACCCGAAAUCCACUCUCAGUUCGGAUCGGAGUCUGCAACCCGACUCCGUGAAGCUGGAUUCGCUAGUAAUCGCGCAUCAGCCAUGGCGCGGUGAAUACGUUCCCGGGCCUU
rnacentral:rRNA from 1 species